AUUGCUGUGCUGAAUAGAACACACCUGAUUUUGUCUGAUCUCAGAAAGUAAGUACACCUGGGCCUGGCUAGUAGAUGAGUAAGAGACCACCUAGGAAUCCUGAGUAUGGUAGUU
rnacentral:rRNA from 1 species